ensembl:rRNA 5S_rRNA 5S ribosomal RNA
UAUGACCACCCUGAAUGCGUCCAAUCUUGUUAGACCUUGGAAGUUAAGCAGGGAUGGGACUGGUUAGUACUUGGAUGGGAUAUGGCAAUCCGUGAAUGA